rnacentral:rRNA from 1 species
CACGUAGGCGGUGAAUCGGGUUGAAAGUGAAAGUCGCCAAAAACUGGCGGAAUGCUCUCGAAACCAAUUCACUUGAGUGAGACAGAGGAGAGUGGAAUUUCGUGUGGAGGGGUGAAAUCCUGAGAUCUACGAAGGAACGCCAAAAGCGAAGGCAGCUCUCUGGGUCCCUACCGACGCUGGGGUGCGAAAGCAGUGGGGAGCGAACU